rnacentral:lncRNA from 1 species
CUCCGAAUCUCCCCUACUUGAAACAUUUCUCAUGCUUCAGAGACCACCCGAAGAGCCAUGUCCUCUGCUGAAAGCUUCUUCCCCCUCUUCUGAGUUCCUGUGGCUCUCAGUGCCUGUCCUCUGCACCGGAAGUUUGUCACCUACUUCUGGUAACACCGCCUCUUCUGCUAAGUAUGUGGGCCACCAGCACAGCAUGGCUGCUAACAGAGUGGUGUAGAUCUACACCCAGGAACUGAACCCAGGCUGCCGAGGUGGAGCGCACUGAACUUAACCACUAGGCCACCGGGGCUGGCCCAUAAACAAGUAUAUUUUAAUCAUAUAUCUUUUUUUUAAAUAUAAUUGGAAGAAGUGACAUUCUGUUCUGGACUCUGCUUUAUUUCCCUUACUAAAAUAUCUCAUGUUGUUGCAUAUCAGCAUAUGUAGAUCUAUUUCAUUCUUUUCUGCUCCUGCAUAGAUUUCUAUUGU